rnacentral:rRNA from 1 species
AUCCUGGCUCAGAAUGAACGCUGGCGGCGUGCUUAACACAUGCAAGUCGAACGAGAAAUCUUUAGCUUGCUAGAGAAAGUAAAGUGGCGCACGGGUGAGUAACGCGUGGGUAAUCUGCCUCCGAGUCGGGGAUAACAUUGCGAAAGCGAUGCUAAUACCGGAUAAAAUCUGGUUGGCUUCGGUGAACCGGAUCAAAGGUGGUCUCUUUUAAAAAGCUACCGUUUGGAGAUGAGCUCGCGUACCAUUAGCUUGUUGGUGGGGUAAAGGCUCACCAAGGCGACGAUGGUUAGCUGGUCUGAGAGGAUGAUCAGCCACACCGGAACUGGAACACGGUCCGGACUCCUACGGGAGGCAGCAGUGAGGAAUUUUGCGCAAUGGGGGAAACCCUGACGCAGCAACGCCGCGUGAGUGAUGAAGGCUUUCGGGUCGUAAAGCUCUGUCAGGUGGGAAGAACCCACCAGGUGUAAACAUCACCUGGUGCUGACGGUACCACCGAAGGAAGCACCGGCUAACUCCGUGCCAGCAGCCGCGGUAAUACGGGGGGUGCGAGCGUUAUUCGGAAUCAUUGGGCGUAAAGGGCGCGCAGGCGGUUUUGUAAGUCAGAUGUGAAAUCCCGGGGCUUAACCCCGGAAGUGCAUAUGAAACUAUGAGACUUGAGUAUGGGAGAGGGAAGCGGAAUUCCUGGUGUAGCGGUGAAAUGCGUAGAUAUCAGGAGGAACACCGGUGGCGAAGGCGGCUUCCUGGACCAAUACUGACGCUGAGGCGCGAAGGCGUGGGGAGCGAACAGGAUUAGAUACCCUGGUAGUCCACGCAGUAAACGUUGAUCACUAGGUGUAGCGGGUAUUGACCCCUGCUGUGCCGGAGUUAACGCAUUAAGUGAUCCGCCUGGGGAGUACGAUCGCAAGAUUAAAACUCAAAGGAAUUGACGGGGGCCCGCACAAGCGGUGGAGCAUGUGGUUUAAUUCGACGCAACGCGAAGAACCUUACCUGGAC